rnacentral:rRNA from 1 species
UACGUAGGUGGCAAGCGUUGUCCGGAUUUACUGGGCGUAAAGGGCUUGUAGGCGGUUCGUUAAGUCUGGUGUGAAAUCUCCCGGCUCAACCGGGAGGGGUCAUCGGAUACUGGCGGACUAGAGACAGGUAGAGGAAAGCAGAAUUCCCGGUGUAGCGGUGAAAUGCGUAGAUAUCGGGAGGAAUACCAGUGGCGAAGGCGGCUUUCUGGGCCUGUUCUGACGCUGAGGAGCGAAAGCGUGGGGAGCAACCGGG